GGUGAUAUAGUAUAGUGGUUAGUACAAUUCGUUGUGGCUAUCGCACUGCGUCAAAGCAUGCUCCGAAUAGACCCAGGUUCGAUUCCUGGUAUCGCCA
rnacentral:tRNA from 1 species